rnacentral:lncRNA from 1 species
AAGCAUAUAUGUUGUUUAAAGAGAGAACUACUUCUCGUGUUGGGUCAGUCCUAGCACAUGUCUCCACAUGUGGCCACAUUAUUAGUUCAACAUUUCUAUGUCCAUGACUUGUGAAACAUAGUCAUCAACUAAUACAUGUGCUAGUCUAAUAUUCAUGUGUGUCCUCACAUGAACUCCGACUAGGGACAACUUUAGAAUAACCAUACAAGUAAGGAGUUUCACACACAAUUCACAUAAUUGCAAAUCAAUUCAAGUAGCCUUUAAUGGAUAUUCAAGGAACACAAUACAAAUCAUGGAUACAAAUGGAAUAUCAUCAUCUCUAUGAUUGCCUCUAGGGAAUACCUCCAACAGUCUCCCAC